UACAGAGGUCUCAACCGUUGUUCGGAUUCAUUGGGCGUAAAGGGUGCGUAGGCGGCGGAGUAAGUCAGGUGUGAAAUCUCGGGGCUCAACCCCGAAACUGCACUUGAUACUGCUUCGCUUGAGUACUGGAGAGGAGACUGGAAUUUACGGUGUAGCAGUGAAAUGCGUAGAUAUCGUAAGGAAGACCAGUGGCGAAGGCGAGUCUCUGGACAGUUACUGACACUGAGGCACGAAGGCCAGGGGAGCAAACGGG
rnacentral:rRNA from 1 species